UGGAGGAAAGCAGGGGAUCGCAAGACCUUGCGCUUUUGGAGUGGCCGAUGCCUGAUUAGCUAGUUGGUAGGGUAAUGGCCUACCAAGGCGACGAUCAGUAGUUGGUCUGAGAGGACGACCAGCCACACUGGGACUGAGACACGGCCCAGACUCCUACGGGAGGCAGCAGUGGGGAAUUUUGGACAAUGGGCGAAAGCCUGAUCCAGCAAUGCCGCGUGAGUGAAGAAGGCCUUCGGGUUGUAAAGCUCUUUCAGUCGAGAAGAAAAGGUUGUGACUAAUAAUCACAACUCAUGACGGUAUCGACAGAAGAAGCACCGGCUAACUACGUGCCAGCAGCCGCGGUAAUACGUAGGGUGCGAGCGUUAAUCGGAAUUACUGGGCGUAAAGGGUGCGCAGGCGGCUUUGUAAGUCAGAUGUGA
rnacentral:rRNA from 1 species